UUUUUAAAGUUUUUAAAGAAAUGCAGAUUUCUCAGGCCACAGUAUCACUUCCUAAAUUGGAAACUGUAGUGUAGGCUCAAGGAGCUGUUUUACAGGAUACUAGCAGGCACUCAGCUUUGGAGGCCCCACCCAGUAGGACUGUUGGAUGGAGAAAGAAGCCUCAUGGGCUCCCCAAGUUCCAGACUAGCUUCCCACCCUGUCCUUGUACCCCUUCCUCCAGGUGCGGUUCCCUUCCCACUUCAGCUCUGACUUGAAGGACCUGCUGCGGAACCUCCUGCAGGUAGAUCUCACCAAGCGCUUUGGGAACCUCAAAAAUGGGGUCAACGAUAUCAAGAACCACAAGUGGUUUGCCACAACUGACUGGAUCGCCAUCUACCAGAGGAAGGUGGAAGCUCCCUUCAUACCAAAGUUUAAAGGCCCUGGGGAUACGAGUAACUUUGACGACUAUGAGGAAGAAGAAAUCCGGGUCUCCAUCAAUGAGAAGUGUGGCAAGGAGUUUUCUGAGUUUUAGGGGUGUGCCUGUGCCCCCAUGGGUUUUCUUUUCUUUCUUUCUUUUUUUUUUGGUGGGGGGGUGGGAGGGUUGGAUUGAACAGCCAGAGGGCCCCAGAGUUCCUUGCAUCUAAUUUCACCCCCACCCCACCCUCCAGGGUUAGGGGGAGCAGGAAGCCCAGAUAAUCAGAGGGACAGAAAUACCAGCUGCUCCCCCUCAUCCCCUUUGCCCUCCUGCCCCCUCCCCCACUUUUCCCUUUCUCCUUCCCCACAGCCCCACAGCUCCCCAGCCCCUCAGCCCCACCCAGCCUACUUCUGCCUGUUUUAAACGAGUUUCUCAACUCCAGCCAGACCAGGUCUUGCUGGUGUAUCCAGGGACAGGGUGUGGAAAGAGGGGCUCACACUUAACUCCAGCCCCCACCCACACCACCAUCCCACCCAACCACAGGCCCCACUUGCUAAGGGCAAAUGAAUGAAGCGCCAACCUUCCUUUCGGAGUAAUCCUUACUGGGAAGGAGAGAUUUUUAGUGACAUGUUCAGUGGGCUGCUUGCUAGAAUUUUUUUUAAAAAACAACAAUUUAAAAUCUUAUUUAAGUUCCACCAGUGCCUCCCUCCUUCCUCUACUCUCACCCCUCCCAUGUCCCCCCAUUCCCCAAAUCCAUUUUAAAGAGAAGCAGACUGACUUUGGAAAGGGAGGCGCUGGGGUUUGAACCUCCCCGCUGCUAAUCUCCCCUGGGCCCCUCCCCGGGGAAUCCUCUCUGCCAAUCCUGCGAAGGUCUAGGCCCCUUUAGGAAGCCUCCGCUCUCUUCUUCCCCAACAGACCUGUCUUCAAACUUAGGCUUUGAGAGCCAGACAAAGCAGCUGCCCCUCUCCCUGCCAAAGAGGAGUCAUCCCCCAAAAAGACAGAGGGGGAGCCCCAAGCCCAAGUCUUUCCUCCCAACAGCGUUUCCCCCAACUCCUUAAUUUUAUUCUCUGCUAGAUUUUAAUGUCCAGUCUUCCCUCAGCUGAGUGGGGAGGGCAUCCCUGCAAAAAGGAACAGAAGAGGCCAAGUCCCCCAACGCCAUGGCCCGAGGUUCAAGGAUAGAGCUGCUGGGGAGGGGCUGCCUGUUUUACUCACCCACCAGCUUCCGCCUCCCCCAUCCUGGGCGCCCCUCCUCCAGCUUAGCUGUCAGCUGUCCAUCACCUCUCCCCCACUGUCUCAUUUGUGCUUUUUUCUCUCGUAAUAGAAAAGUGGGGAGCCGCUGGGGAGCCACCCCAUUCAUCCCCAUAUUUCCCCCUCUCGUAACUUCUCUCCAUCCCAGGAGGAGUUCUCAGGCCUGGGGUGGGGCCCCGGGUGGGUGCGGGGGCGAUUCAACCUGUGUGCUGCGAAGGACGAGACUUCCUCUUGAACAGUGUGCUGUUGUAAACAUAUUUGAAAACUAUUACCAAUAAAGUUUUGUUUAAAAAAAAAA